GUGAGAUUGGCGGAAACGAUCAGUUCGAAGUGCGUGUCUCGCGGUUUAGGACGUGGUUUAUUCGGGUCCCGGUUUUUCAUUGAGGAGAGAUUGUUCGUCGGACUUUAUUGGCGUCCCAACAUGAGGAAAACGAAAGGAUCAAGGAGGAACACAAAUAUGGAAGAGUCUUCCUGUUCAAAAGAAAUCAAUGUGAGCCGAUCAUCACCAACGGCUGCACGAGAGAAAGCCACUCCUUGGAAGCAUAUGAAGCACAAGUUUCCAAGACAUGAAAGGAAGGGCAAUGGUUGUGGUGACGUUGGUCAUAACAUGGAAGGAAAGAUGAGUGAGUCUUCCCAUUCAGAAGACAUCGGUGUGAAUCAGUCAUCCACAUCAAUUAAUCCAAACAGAGCACCACUUUGGAAACGUCUGAAGUUUUUGUUCAGGAGACACAAAAAGAAGAAGGCUUGCAGUGACUCUGGAUGCAUCAUGGAAGGAAAUAUGAAUGAGUCUUCCCAUUCAGAAGACAUCUUUGUGGAUCAGUCAUCCACAUCAACGAAUCCAAAAAAAGCAUCUGUUUCGAUACGUCUGAAGAGACACGAAAAGAAGGAGAAGACUUGCAGUGAUGAUGAAUAUAUCACGGAAGGAAAUAUGAACGAGUCUUCCCAUUCAGAAGACAUCAUUGUGGAUCAGUUAUCCCCAUCAAUGAAUCCAAACAGAGCAUCACUUUGGAAACAUCGAGAGGAAGGAAAGAUGAGUGAGUCUUCCCAUUCAGAAGACAUCGGUGUGAAUCAGUCAUUCACAUCAAUGCAUCCAAAAAAAGCAUCGCUUUGGGAACGUCUGAAGCUUUUGUUCAUUAGACGUCAAAAGAAGGGCAACGCUUGUAAUAAAGGACAGAUCACGUUUAAAGUCAACAAAUAUGAAUACAUGAAGAAGAAGAAGAAGAAGAAGAAGAAGAAGGGUUUUGAAUAUAAACGCAAGUUUCGUUGCUUGGUGGUAAGAGAAAAUAUUCCUUCUGGAUGUCGUGACCUGAAAUGUAUCUGAAUGAGAAAUGGUAUUCCCUUGAAAGGAGAUUAAAGCUAACCUUGUCAUGUUUCAGGUCAUCUUCCAUCUGCUUGGAAGCCAGCUUAUAUCACCUCCGUUAACCAAUCUUGCUGCUUAUGUAUGGCACGAGCAAAAAUCACUUCUGCUUCACUGUGAAGCUCAGUGUUGGAUCCUUUUGUUUAAACCUCCCCUUAAAAUGAAUGAAAUUGAACAUUUUGAAUUAUUUUCACUCAGAUUUCAACAUCACCGUAAUGCAUAUCAUCAAG
rnacentral:lncRNA from 1 species